AUGAGCAACCAAGAGAAGCGCCACAGGACAAGCAUGCAGCACCUCCGAUAUCUUGAUAGCUUUAUGGAUGAAAUAGACCGUGAGGUCAUGAGCCUGACGGAUCGAGCUUUUAAGAGUCUGUGUAUUGGAGAUGAAGCAAUCUACAAUGACUCAGAAUUUUCCCCCUCUCUAGUCAGCUGCCACAAGCCAAUGGCGGAGGACAUCUCAAAAAAGACUCAGCAGAGCUCAUUUUCUGCUGUCAGAAAACUUAAUUCUUACCCCCUUAAUGGAGCGAAUGAUCCGUUGAGUAGAUCAAAUAAGUCAUCCAAAGACUCAUCGCUUUUUGCAGCGUUUGCAGCCAAAAAGAAUGGUGAGAGCAGCAAGAUGACAAAUGGUGAUUCAUGGGACAAAUCUGCUCUACUCAGCAUCCAAAGGGAGCUCUACGAGUUUUCUUCAGAUUAUCACAGUUUAACAGCGGGACAUCUUUCCCAAGCCAAAAAUCAUCUUAAAUCAGAUGAAAAAGGGUCUGGCAAGAAAUCAAGCAAGGUUGCUUCGAAUCCCCCGGGAAAAUCUUCUAAAAGUAAACAAAGCAAACACAACAAACUUCUAAAACUGAAUUGCAUAAACUUUUUCCUCCACAGCGAAUUAAGCCCGUUUUUGUCAUGGAGGGAUUUUAAUAAAUUCUCCAUCGGACAGGAGCACAUUUCGGAGAUUGUGUUGAGCAACAGGCCACCUGAAUGGUAUGACUCACCUCUUUACAAAGAAUUAACUGCAGCACAUGGACACUAUAAACCGGGAAAAUCUUCUAAAAGUAAACAAAGCAAACACAACAAACUGCGAAAACUGAAUUGCAUAAACUUUUUCCUCCACAGCGAAUUAAGCCCGUUUUUGUCAUGGAGGGAUUUUAAUCAAUUCUCCAUCGGGCAGGAGCACAUUUCGGAGAUUGUGUUGAGCAACAGGCCACCUGAAUGGUAUGACUCACCUCUUUACAAAGAAUUAACUGCAGCACAUGGACACUAUAAAGUAAGCGUUUCCCCAUCAGUUGAAAAAGAAGUUGAAAAGUGUCCAAAACAAAGUGAGACUCAUCCACUUAAACCACAACUUGCUUCUAUACAAACGGCAGCACCUAGGGUACCCCCAAAACCAGAGAAAGAGUCUGGGCACAUCCAGCAUAAUAUUCCUACAAAAGCUCCUCCACUUGUUGCUGAACAGAGAUGUAAUUCAGAAAGAGUGGAAGCUUGCGUUCCCUGGCGAAAAAGCCAAAGUAGAGCAAAAAGUGCUGCUCCUGUGGGGCAUUCCAUCAACUCACCGGCCUGCAAAAAGACAAAGGCUGGAGACGGGAGUGCACAGGCAUUUAAAAAAGAAGUCAAGACAAUAGAGGACCAGACCUCCACUAGUUCAACUCCUUUCAGUAUUUCACAGCUGUUGACACCGGUGAUACCCUCCAGACAUGGGACAGGAACUUCAGAGAUACUGCAAACUGUGCUCUCGCCCACUGCCCUGGAGAUCCCAGCGCUCUCUGAGAGAGAACUGCAUCUGUCGCCUGAGAUUAAGAGAGAAGGGUACAAAUCCAUAGCAUCAAGCUUGUUGUUCAAUCUCAAGGACAACAGAAAACGGGUUAAGGCCAUGUACUGUCCA
ensembl:lncRNA